rnacentral:rRNA from 1 species
AUUCCAGCUCCAAUAGCGUAUAUUAAUGUUGUUGCAGUUAAAAAGCUCGUAGUUGGAUUUCUGGUGGGAGCGGCCGGUCCGCCGUAAGGUGUGUACUUGGUUGUCUCCUGUCAUCCUUGUGGGAACUGCUCUGGCAUUAAGUUGUCGGGGUUAGGGAACACAUCGUUUACUGUGAAAAAAUUAGAGUGUUUAAAGCAGGCUUAUGCCGUUGAAUACAUUAGCAUGGAAUAAUAAGAUAGGACUUUGGCGUCUAUUUUGUUGGUUUGCACACCAAGGUAAUGAUUAAUAGGGACAGUCGGGGGCAUUUGUAUUCAAACGACAGAGGUGAAAUUCUUGGAUUUGUUAAAGACGGACUACUGCGAAAGCAUUUGCCAAGGAUGUUUUCAUCA